rnacentral:rRNA from 1 species
GGCCUAACACAUGCAAGUCGAACGGCAGCGGGGGGUAGCUUGCUACCCCGCCGGCGAGUGGCGGACGGGUGAGUAAUGCCUGGGGAGCUGCCCAAUCGAGGGGGAUACCAGUUGGAAACGACUGCUAAUACCGCAUACGCCCUGAGGGGGAAAGGUGGGGAUCUUCGGACCUACCGCGAUUGGAUGCACCCAGGUGGGAUUAGCUAGUUGGUGAGGUAACGGCUCACCAAGGCGACGAUCUCUAGCUGGUCUGAGAGGAUGACCAGCCACACUGGAACUGAGACACGGUCCAGACUCCUACGGGAGGCAGCAGUGGGGAAUAUUGCACAAUGGGGGAAACCCUGAUGCAGCCAUGCCGCGUGUGUGAAGAAGGCCUUCGGGUUGUAAAGCACUUUCAGCGAGGAGGAAAGGUGGCUAGGCUAAUACCUAGUUGCUGUGACGUUACUCGCAGAAGAAGACACCGGCUAACUCCGUG